UACGAAGGGGGCUAGCGUUGUUCGGAAUUACUGGGCGUAAAGCGCGCGUAGGCGGCUUUGUAAGUUAGAGGUGAAAGCCCGGGGCUCAACCCCGGAAAUGCCUUUAAGACUGCAUCGCUUGAAUCCAGGAGAGGUGAGUGGAAUUCCGAGUGUAGAGGUGAAAUUCGUAGAUAUUCGGAAGAACACCAGUGGCGAAGGCGGCUCACUGGCCUGGUAUUGACGCUGAGGUGCGAAAGCGUGGGGAGCAAACAGG
rnacentral:rRNA from 1 species